AUUCGACGGAAUUAAAGUUUGUUUUUGCUCUGAGUGAGCUUGAAGAGGGAGAAAUGGAGCCCACUACAUCAACCGAACUGAGGGAUGACAGAAGAAAGGGAAACAGCAGAGAGGUGAUUGAUCCCGUCAGUGUUCUUCCCGAAUCGUCCAGAUGCAAGGUGGAUCCUGAAAAUAUGCUUGGCAUUGUGGGUAUUGUGGGCACAGUUCUCAACCUGCUUGUAGUGGUGUUAGUGUAUAUCUACACACCUAUCUGACAUCACUGACUGUAUGGAUGGAUUUAUGGUGAAGCUGUUGGAGUGGAAGGACAGAUGUAUGAAUGGGACAUCACCUAAUUGAUGAAUGGAAGGAAGGACAACCAGAGGGAAGUGGCAGAGUGCUUUGAUCCUAGGAGGGUGAUUUAGUAAUACCACAUACUAUAAGAAUACAAAGAAAGGCAUUCUCUGACAUUGUUAGUGCUGAGGAUAAUUUAUUGGGAUUUAACCUUUGUAGUUAUGUUUGUAACUAUGUCACCUUGAAGCUAAAGUCCCUUUCUAUGAAGCAGUAAAUGUUUGACCAACAUUGUA